rfam:Reinekea sp. MED297 1099646007016, whole genome shotgun sequence.
CCGAAUGUUCAGCCAUUCGUAGUCUACGGAUAGUGCGUCACUGGUAACGGUGGGGUGCGAAGCUUCCUGACAAUGUAGCCCUUCUUCUGAAGCAAUCAGAGCUGUGAAGUUUCUGAUCGGAUUCUGCGAGCAAUACGCGGAUGAGGCG